CCCACAAAUCAGCAUUCUGUGGUGUAGUUGUGUUUACAGUUAAACUAAACUAUAGUAGUAUGUGUAUGUAUAAGUAUGCUAAAGGGCUAGCAUAACAACCCCAAACAAAACCCAGUUGGGUGCCAGGCAGCACCAGCCUUCCAGGCUCCGAAUGGUCUCAUGAACCCAUAAACGACGGGCAUUUCGACGUCUCUCCCUCUUCCACAACAGACACAUGACUACCACUUCACAGGGGAGGAAAAAGCGUGCCAACACCUCUGUCGUGCACCAGUGUUCUGCAGUCGUGGACCAAGGACACAGGGGAUUCGCCCGGAACCCACUGACCAACUUGUGGUCAGGAAACCCAAGGUUUGGGUUAGGUGUUUUAUUUUAACACAUACAUGGACACAUACCUCCUGAAUGCCAAGUAAAUAUGGCCGAGGGAUACACGCACCCCAUUUCAUUUAUUUAUUUCUGUUAAAUGUAUAUAUGUAAAUAUUUUAAUCAAAGAAUUGGAAACGAACAUUCCUGAACAUUUGUUUAAGGUAACACACUCUGAGCACCUUUUAAAACAAGCCUGAAGACUUUUAUGUUUGCAUUAGCUUUCUGCUACAUCUUAAAUACAUUGCACUUUCUAAAAAGCUUUUUUAUCUUUG
ensembl:lncRNA